GAUGAACGCUGGCGGCGUGCCUAAUACAUGCAAGUCGAGCGAACGGACGAGAAGCUUGCUUCUCUGAUGUUAGAGUCGGACGGGUGAGUAACACUUGGAUAACCUACCUAUAAGACUGGGAUAACUUCGGGAAACCGUAGCUAAUACCGGAUAAUAUUUUUAUCCGCAUGGUUCAAAAGUGAAAGACGGUCUUUCUGUCACUUAUAGAUGGAUCCGCGCUGCAUUAGCUAGUUGGUAAGGUAACGGCUUACCAAGGCAACGAUGCAUAGCCGACCUGAGAGGGGGAUCGGCCACACUGGAACUGAGACACGGUCCAGACUCCUACGGGAGGCAGCAGUAGGGAAUCUUCCGCAAUGGGCGAAAGCCUGACGGAGCAACGCCGCGUGAGUGAUGAAGGUCUUCGGAUCGUAAAACUCUGUUAUUAGGGAAGAACAUAUGUGUAAGUAACUGUGCACAUCUUGACGGUACCUAAUCAGAAAGCCACGGCUAACUACGUG
rnacentral:rRNA from 1 species